GGGUAGAGCAGUUGGUAGCUCGCAAGGCUCAUAACCUUGAGGUCACGGGUUCAACUCCCCGUCUCCGCU
rnacentral:tRNA from 1 species